rnacentral:rRNA from 1 species
ACGUAGGGGGCAAGCGUUGUCCGGAAUCAUUGGGCGUAAAGAGCGCGUAGGCGGUCCGGUAAGUCGGUUGUGAAAACUGGGGGCUCAACCCUCAGAGGCCGACCGAUACUGUCGGGCUAGAGUCCGGAAGAGGCGAGUGGAAUUCCUGGUGUAGCGGUGAAAUGCGCAGAUAUCAGGAGGAACACCAAUGGCGAAGGCAGCUCGCUGGGACGGUACUGACGCUGAGGCGCGAAAGCGUGGGGAGCAAACAGGA